GUGGCAGAAUAUUAACUACUAUUUUCUGGGCAAAAGGAAGCGACAUCUAGUUCCCUUGCGCCCGUGAGAGCCGGGACUUGGGGAGACAGGCUUCAGGCUCUAUCACAUGAUGAUCCUGGGGCCGACUUGUGCCAAGGCUGGGCUGGGAGGGAAGAUGGCCUGGACGCACAGCGUAAUCCUGAGUCCCCUCUCUGUGGAUGACGAUGAGUUACCUUUGCCCUCCCUC
rnacentral:lncRNA from 1 species